GGAGCCCUGACUGAAAAGCAACAACAACACUGCUGUGAAGAGCUGUGUGUGAGAAGAAAUGCAAGUGCCCGUGGGGUUUCUUUCCGCUUCGUUGUAAGAAACUGGUGCAGCUUUACAUUGCUAAUCAGACGCCGCUCCUUUGACCUCCCCUCCCUCACUCCUGAGACUGUGGAAACUGUUGGAGGAGAUGUGUGACUGCCAAUGCCAUGUGGUCUCCACCAUCUUGAGCAUGUGAAUGCAACCACACACGCAGCUGUGGCCAUGCAGUGACAGCAAACCUGGGCAUCAGGAGUAAAGAUGGAAGAGCUUGGAGAAGGGGUUCUCAGUUGGGGUUCGCUAUUUUUUAACUGUUCCUCAAGAUUCUGAAUGCAUAUCAUCAUCAUAUUAAAAAAAGGAUAGAAUACUU